rnacentral:rRNA from 1 species
GAUGAACGCUAGCGGCAGGCCUAAUACAUGCAAGUCGAACGGUGUAGCAAUACACAGUGGCGCACGGGUGCGUAACACGUAUGCAACCUACCUUACAUUGGGGGAUAGCCUUUCGAAAGGGAGAUUAAUACCGCAUAAGACAGUAACUAGGCAUCUAGUAGCUGUUAAAGAUUUAUCGAUGUAAGCUGGGCAUGCGUCCAAUUAGUUAGUUGGCGAGGUAAUGGCUCACCAAGACGAUGAUGGGUAGGGGAACUGAGAGGUCAAUCCCCCACCCUGGGACUGAGACACGGCCCAGACUCCUACGGGAGGCAGCAGUGGGGAAUAUUGGACAAUGGGCGGAAGCCUGAUCCAGCCAUGCCGCGUGUGUGAAGAAGGCCUUUUGGUUGUAAAGCACUUUAAGCGAGGAGGAGGCUACCUGGAUUAAUACUCUAGGAUAGUGGACGUUACUCGCAGAAUAAGCACCGGCUAACUCUGUGCCAGCCGCCGCCGUAACAC